AGCACUUGUGUUUGCUUUUGUUUAACUUGUAGACAAAGACUUAUAGACAGGAGCAAAAAAAGUCCUCUUUAGCAACUGAAAAUGUUCAUUGUUCAGUAUGAGAUUUGAUAGUUCUAAGAAAGACUAUC